rnacentral:rRNA from 1 species
GGCCUUUAGCCCGCCCAGUAUUAAAGGUCCAACCUGCCCAGUGAAAACUUUUUAACGGCCGCGGUAUCCUAACCGUGCAAAGGUAGCGCAAUCACUUGCCCUUUAAAUGGGGGCUAGUAUGAAUGGUUAAAUGAGGGCCCAACUGUCUCCUGUGGCCAGUCAAUGAAAUUGAUAACCCAGUACAAACGCUGAAAUAAACACACAAGACGAGAAGACCCUGUGGAACUUUAAAUACUCGUACUAGCAGCCCCCCCCAGACCCUCGUCCACCCUAGUACAGUUUUAAGUUGGGGCAACUACGGAGUAAAACGAAACCUCCAUGAGCCGCGACUAGUACUCGCACACAAGGCAGACACGCCAACACCUACAAAAGUUUGACCCAGUAAGACUGAUUCUCGAACCAAGCUACCCCAGGGAUAACAGCGCUAUCCCCUUUAAGAGUCCAUAUCGCCAAGGGGGCUUACGACCUCGAUGUUGGAUCAGGACACCCAGGCGGUGCAGCCGCUGCCAAAGGUUCGUUUGUUCAACGAAUAAAGUCCU